rnacentral:misc_RNA from 1 species
AACCUAGCACACCUGCGGUGUGUACCUGCGGAGGGAUCAUUAACAAGCUGUGGGAGAUCGAUCAAUUUGAUCUCACACCUGGCCAACCUUGUUAACCUUAAAUAUAUUGCUUUGGUGAGCCCUGCUCACCAAAGUCAAACCCUAAACUCUUGAUUGUUUCUGCUGUCUGAGCAUGCAAGUGCAAAAUUUAGUUAAAAACUUUUAACAACGGAUCU